CCUCCCCAUGAUAAAGCUACAAACUAGUAGCACUUUCUUUUGAGUCGAAGAGGAGUGGUGGAACUGGAACAAUUAAAAGUGUCAUGCAAAAUAUAUCUCUUGUAGAUACUGAAGAUAGCAUUACCUGGAAGUGGAACACUUCAAAAAGCUAUCCAAUUAAAAAUAGCUAUAGAUUCUUCAGCCAUGGUGGAGUGAUAUCCCAC
rnacentral:lncRNA from 1 species